GAUGAACGCUGGCGGCGUGCCUAAUACAUGCAAGUCGAACGGACAGACGAGGCGCUUGCUGCUCUGACGAUAGGGGAGGACGUGUGUGUAACACGUGUAUAACCUACCUAUCAGACUGGGAUAACUUCGGGAAACGGGCGCUAAUACCGGAUAAGCUAUUGAACCGCAUUGUGGAAUAGUGAAAUACGGUGUUGCGGUAUGUUAUAGAUGCAUCUGCGCUGCAUUAGCUAGUUGGUAAGGUAACGGCUUACCAAGGCAACGAUGCGUAGACGACCUGAGAGGGUGAUCGGCGACACUGGAACGUGGACACGGUCCAGGCUCCUACGGGAGGCAGCAGUAGGGAAUGUUACGCAACAGGCGAAAGCCUGGCGGAGCAACGCCGCGUGAGUGAUGAAGGUGUCCGGAUCGUAAAACUGUGUUAUUAGGGAAGAACCAAUGUGGAAGUAACUGUGCACGGAUUGACGGUACCUAAUCAGAAAGCAACGGCUAACUACGUG
rnacentral:rRNA from 1 species